rnacentral:rRNA from 1 species
AACGAACGCUGGCGGCAGGCUUAACACAUGCAAGUCGAGCGAGACCUUCGGGUCUAGCGGCGGACGGGUGAGUAACGCGUGGGAACGUGCCCUUCUCUACGGAAUAGCCCCGGGAAACUGGGAGUAAUACCGUAUACGCCCUUUGGGGGAAAGAUUUAUCGGAGAAGGAUCGGCCCGCGUUGGAUUAGGUAGUUGGUGGGGUAAUGGCCCACCAAGCCGACGAUCCAUAGCUGGUUUGAGAGGAUGAUCAGCCACACUGGGACUGAGACACGGCCCAGACUCCUACGGGAGGCAGCAGUGGGGAAUCUUAGACAAUGGGGGCAACCCUGAUCUAGCCAUGCCGCGUGAGUGAUGAAGGCCUUAGGGUUGUAAAGCUCUUUCAGCUGGGAAGAUAAGGACGGUACCAGCAGAAGAAGCCCCGGCUAACUCCGU